AUGAGCACUAUUUGGAGUAGAUUCUGUCCAACAAAGAGAAGGCAAAACCAUUCACAGAAUACUUUAGAACUGGAAAGGAUCAAACCUGGAAUUUCUUCAAAUGGAAGUACUUCUUUCAGCAAUAAAGAUUUCAAUCCAUCCAAAACCUUCUCAUCUUUUCCAAUGUUUGCCCAUUUCUGCCUACCGCCUAUAGAGAGUCUGCCUGAUAUAUUGAGGACUUUUUAGUUAAAAAAAAUUUAACCAUAUGUCCUUGAACUUAGAAAUAUUUUAAUAAUUACAUUUCAAUAUAAUGUUUUCUUUAUAAUUUCAUUGCAUUUUAUCUUAUUUAUUUGAAACCAUUAUACUAAGGUUACAAAGAUGUCUUCAGUUGCCAAAAGGGUCCAUGAAAGAGACAAACAAGAAAUAAGUCUCUGUUCUAAGUCUCUUGGCUUUAUCUAGUCAUCAAAUGAAGAUACAGAAUGUCCAGUAGUUAUCCCUUGAUUUCACAACAUAACUAGCUGAUAUCCUUUUCUAGUUCCAUAUAUAUUAGUUAUUUUAUACCUCUUCUCAAUAACUCUCAACUAAUUAUAUUUUUAAACACACUCUUGAACACCAUAUGCUUCUCCACUGUCAUUUGAAUGACUUUUAAAUUCUUUUCAGAGAUUAUAGUAUUACAUGACUCCAAAAGCAUAAAAUAUUACCAGAAGGAUAUUAAUAUUAAAGAUAUGUUUUCCACCUGAGAUUUAGAAGUCAAGGAGUGAAAUCCAGGAUAGGGUUUUCAACCAGUGCAUCAUCAAUAAUCUAUGGAAGGAGAAGUGACUUUCUAGGUCCAACUCAAUUGUAAGAGGAGGAUUCAUUCAUCAAUACUGCAUGUGGAGGUGAACUUUGCAGGAGUAUGAUAUGUCAAAGUUGUGCCAGGUGCAAUCUCCCUAGAGACUGAGAUGAUAGGAGAUAGUGUGCCUAUGAGGCAUUAGAGAGAAAUAUUUGUACUUAUAUUCAGACACACACACAUACACACACUCAGGGAGAAAACCUUCAGAGUCAUUCAACAAAGCAAUACAAACUUUCCUACUGUUGAGUUUUAGGAUCAUUGUCCAUUUGAAAAUAUAUAUUAUUCAAAAAUAUAUGUAUCAAUAAAGCUUCUUUAUGCAUCA
rnacentral:lncRNA from 1 species